rnacentral:lncRNA from 1 species
UGAAGAAAGAUGAUUGCCUGGCCACAAAGAAUGGACUGUAGGAUCUUGCAAUUGAACUCAAGAGACUUCCAAUCAAUCCCCUGUUAUGGCGCCACCUUCUUCCCCACUUCCAGGGAUACCCAGUACUGCCAACUUCUGAGCCUGCUGGAGGUCAUUCAAACUGUCAUCUACACAUGAAUAACAAUGAAAUUCUCAUAAAGAAGCAGAAAUACCCAGGAGGCAUGAAGAGUCAUCAUGCUUCAAAAGUACAUGUAUUAGGACUUCACGACCUCAGGAAAAGUAGACUCCGUAACUCUUAAAAGCUCAAUCUUGGAGAGGAGAAACAUGCUGUUUGAUGACAUAGCACAGAAACUUGUUGAAAUAUCCUUGGAGCUUGAGAUGUCGAGAGCGAGCCAUCAAAAUGUUCUCAAGAAUUAAAUUGAAAAAUGUUGCUUCAAAAUGUCUUAGCCAACCAAAUACAAACAUUUUUGUCAUUGUGACAAAAAAAAAGCUCACCAAUUGUCUUUGCUAGUCUCAGCACAGCCCAAGAGGAGCAUCCUUCAUGAGCCAACUGAAAAACAGUGUGUAGUCUAUGCUUCUGACCAGAUGGGCUUCUCUUGUCACCAUAACAUUAUGUAUUAGGACUUCAUGUAUUAUGUAUUAUGUCAACACUUUAUUCAUUAUGCUGAUCAUACUCUGUAUUUCACUUGCUCUGGUUAUUUGUAAAGCUUUUCCUAUUUCAUCAUUAAAUUAUCCUUGUAUUUUAGCAACUGCAUUUUAGUCACUCUAUAUUCUUUAUAGUGCCUGCCCAAAUGACAUAUUAAUAAGCAUUUUUUCUGAAUCAAUAACCAACCCCCAAAAAAUCUGCAGCCAUGGUUGUAAAUACCGUACAUUCCAAAGAAAAGUGGAAAUGAAUGAAGGACCAAUUUUGAGGAAGAAUUAGGGUUCUCAAAAAUUCAACAAUUACAAUCAGUAAGUUUUUUAAAAUUUAACAAAUUCAACAAGUAUGUCAACAAGUAUUCAACAAGUUAGAGUUAUAAACAUUUGUUCAAAAUUUUACACGUGGUUAAUACCUUCAGAGCAGUUAGCAGCAAGAUUCUCAUUUUUAAAUCUUUACCCCUUUGUUCAUUUUAAGGCAAGAUGGAGACCAUGUUGAUGUCAGAGCAAUUGGUCCAGGGUUGUGUGAGGAGCCACUAGGAAGGGAGAAACAGGGAAAUGUGGACCCAAACAGCAUAGUGUUCCCCAGAAACUUGGGUUGGACACAAGAGUGUACAUGCAGGAAAAAGUAAAAUCAAGAAGAUGUGUUAAUCUAAACAAUGCUGUGAGCAAAUGAGACACAGGUCUCCAGGGGACACUCUGAGAAACUACACAGAAUACACUUCAAAAUUGUCCACCAGAAAGACAAAUGAGAGAAGGGAUGAUCCAUUGACUGUCUUCUACCAUUGGUCAUGUUGGCCGAAAGGCUGUUCACGACCGUGGACUUCAAAGAUUGCACCUGCUUCAGAAUGGCUGAGUAGUUUGCAGAAGGCAUCUUAACAGAUGGUAACAGAGAAGCAAGAGAUAAGUGCUGCAGCUGAUGCAAGGUGCUGGCAGUGACACUAUCACAAAGCUGGUUGCUGUAAAAAUGUGGCCAAGAGGAUGUGAGCUACAACGCAAGAGUGGUUCGACAUCAUUUCUCAGAAGCACAUGAGUCUGAUGCAAAUCUAUUGUUCUUGAAAUAAUGAGCACAGGACCAUAUUUGUCCCUUCUGGACAAUAGUCAGAGAAAGGAGCACCCACAGAGAGAAAAGAUCUGGUAAUACUAGUUAGGGAGUGGAAGAAGCCAGGUGAUAUAGUUUGGCUGUGUCCCCACACAAAAUCUCAUUGUGAAUUGUAAUCUGAAUUGUAAUUCCCAUGUGUUAGAGCUGCGACCUGGUGGGAGGUAAUUUAAUCAUGGGGGUCGUUACCCUCAUGCUGUUCUUAUGAUAGUGAGUUCUCACGGGAUCUGAUGGUUUUAUAACAGGCUUUUCCCCCUUUUGCGUGGCACUUCUCCUUGCUACUGCCAUGUGAACAAGGGCGUGUUUGCUUCCCCUUCUGUCAUGAUUGUAAGUUUCCUGAGGCCUACCCAGCCAUGUUGAACUGUGAGUCAACUAAACCUCUUUACUUUAUA